GACGAACGCUGGCGGCAGGCUUAACACAUGCAAGUCGAACGGUCCUUCGGGACAGUGGCAGACGGGUGCGUAACGCGUGGGAACGUACCAUUCGGUUCGGAAUAGCCUCGGGAAACUGGGAUUAAUACCGAAUACGCCCUUCGGGGGAAAGAUUUAUCGCCGAAUGAUCGGCCCGCGUCUGAUUAGCUAGUUGGUGGGGUAAUUGCCUACCAAGGCUACGAUCAGUAGCUGGUCUGAGAGGAUGAUCAGCCACACUGGGACUGAGACACGGCCCAGACUCCUACGGGAGGCAGCAGUGGGGAAUAUUGGACAAUGGGCGAAAGCCUGAUCCAGCCAUGCCGCGUGAGUGAUGAAGGCCUUAGGGUUGUAAAACUCUUUCACCGCUGAAGAUAAUGACGGUAAGCGGAGAAGAAGCCCCGGCUAAUUUCGUGCCAGCCGCCGCAGUAACAC
rnacentral:rRNA from 1 species